rnacentral:rRNA from 1 species
AAUAUUGGACAAUGGGCGAAAGCCUGAUCCAGCCAUCCCGCGUGUAUGAUGAAGGCCUUCGGGUUGUAAAGUACUUUUGGCAGAGAAGAAAAGGUACCUCCUACUACGAGGUACUGCUGACGGUAUCUGCAUAAUAAGCACCGGCUAACUACGUGCCAGAAGCCGAGGUAAUACGUAGGGUGCAAGCGUUAAUCGGAAUUAAUGGGCGUAAAGCGUGUGUAGGCGGUUCGGAAAGAAAGAUGUGACAUCCCAGGGCUCCACAUUGGAACUGCAUUUUUAACUGCCGAGCUAGAGUAUGUCAGAGGGGGGUAGAAUUCCACGUGUAGCAGUGAAAUGCGUAGAUAUGUGGAGGAAUACCGAUGGCGAAGGCAGCCCCCUGGGAUAAUACUGACGCUCAGACACGAAAGCGUGGGGAGCAAACAG